rnacentral:rRNA from 1 species
UACGUAGGGGGCAAGCGUUGUCCGGAUUUAUUGGGCGUAAAGAGCGUGUAGGCGGCUUGGUAGGUCCGCUGUGAAAACUCGAGGCUCAACCUCGAGAUGUCGGCGGAAACCACUUGGCUAGAGUCCGGAAGAGGAGAGUGGAAUUCCCGGUGUAGCGGUGAAAUGCGCAGAUAUCGGGAAGAACACCUAUGGCGGAAGGCAGCUCUCUGGGACGGUAC